CUUGGUUGCCUCUCAAAGAAAUAUUGAUGUUCGAUAGAGAGAAGAUUAGCAUGGCCCCUGCACAAAGAUGACAUGCAAAAAUCGAAAAAUGGUCCAAAUUUUU